GUACGACCGCAAGGUUGAAACUCAAAGGAAUUGACGGGGGCCCGCACAAGCGGUGGAGCAUGUGGUUUAAUUCGAAGCAACGCGAAGAACCUUACCAGGUCUUGACAUCCUUUGACCACUCUAGAGAUAGAGCUUUCCCUUCGGGGACAAAGUGACAGGUGGUGCAUGGUUGUCGUCAGCUCGUGUCGUGAGAUGUUGGGUUAAGUCCCGCAACGAGCGCAACCCUUAUUGUUAGUUGCCAUCAUUAAGUUGGGCACUCUAGCGAGACUGCCGGUGACAAACCGGAGGAAGGUGGGGAUGACGUCAAAUCAUCAUGCCCCUUAUGACCUGGGCUACACACGUGCUACAAUGGACAGUACAAUGAGCAGCGACACGGCGACGUGAAGCGAAUCUCAUAAAGCUGUUCUCAGUUCGGAUUGUAGGCUGCAACUCGCCUACAUGAAGCCGGAAUCGCUAGUAAUCGCGGAUCAGCACGCCGCGGUGAAUACGUUCCCGGGCCUUGUACACACCGCCCGUCACACCACGAAAGUUUGUAACACCCGAAGUCGGUGAGGUAACCGCAAGGAGCCAACCGCCUAAGGUGGGAUAGAUGAUUGGGGUGAAGUCGUAACAAGGUAACCAAGGGCGAAUUCCAG
rnacentral:rRNA from 1 species